UACGUAGGGGGCGAGCGUUGUCCGGAUUUAUUGGGCGUAAAGAGCGUGUAGGCGGUUCGGUAAGUCUGUCGUGAAAUCCUGAGGCUCAACCUCGGGCGUGCGAUGGAUACUGCCGGGCUAGAGGGUGGUAGAGGCGAGUGGAAUUCCCGGUGUAGCGGUGAAAUGCGCAGAUAUCGGAAGGAACACCAGUGGCGAAGGCGGCUACCUGGCCGGAUACUGACACUGAAGCACGAAAGCGUGGGGAGCAAACAGG
rnacentral:rRNA from 1 species